rnacentral:rRNA from 1 species
UACGGAGGAUGCGAGCGUUAUCCGGGUUUAUUGGGUUUAAAGGGUGCGUAGGCCGGCGGUCAAGUCAGCGGUAAAAUCGAGGGGCUCAACCCCUUCCCGCCGUUGAAACUGGCCGUCUUGAGUGGGCGAGAAGUAUGCGGAAUGCGUGGUGUAGCGGUGGAAUGCAUAGAUAUCACGCAGAACCCCGAUUGCGAAGGCAGCAUACCGGCGCCCUACUGACGCUGAAGCACGAAAGCGUGGGGAUCGAACAGG